AUUCCAGCUCCAAAAGCGUAUAUUAAAGUUGCUGCAGUUAAAAAGCUCGUAGUUGGAUUUCUGGUUUGACGUGCCCGGCCCGCUGCUUUAUAGUGGUGUGUGCUGGCGCUGCGUCUGCCAUCCUUCCAGAAACUGGUGAUACCUUUCGUUAGGUCGUCUGCCAAGGUCUGGAUCUUUUACUUUGAAAAAAUUAGAGUGUUCAAAGCAGGCUUGUCGCUGUGAAUACAUUAGCAUGGAAUAAUAAUUUAGGACAAUCUGUCUUAUUUUGUUGGUCUAUAAGAUGUUUGUAAUGAUUGAUAGGGAUAGUUGGGGGUGCUAGUAUUUAUCGGCCAGAGGUGAAAUUCUCAGAUUCGAUAAAGACUAACUUAUGCGAAAGCAUUCACCAAGGAUGUCUUCAUCG
rnacentral:rRNA from 1 species